rnacentral:rRNA from 1 species
GACGAACGCUGGCGGCGUGCUUAACACAUGCAAGUCGAGCGGUAAGGCCCUUUCGGGGGUACACGAGCGGCGAACGGGUGAGUAACACGUGGGUGACCUGCCCUCAGCUCUGGGAUAAGCCUGGGAAACCGGGUCUAAUACUGGAUAUGACUCCAUGACGCAUGUUGUGGGGUGGAAAGCCUUGUGCGGCUGAGGAUGGGCCCGCGGCCUAUCAGCUUGUUGGUGGGGUGAGGCCUACCAAGGCGACGACGGGUAGCCGGCCUGAGAGGGCGACCGGCCACACUGGGACUGAGACACGGCCCAGACUCCUACGGGAGGCAGCAGUGGGGAAUCUUGCGCAAUGGGCGAAAGCCUGACGCAGCGACGCCGCGUGGGUGAUGAAGGCCUCGGUCGUAA